GACGAACGCUGGCGGCGUGCUUAACACAUGCAAGUCGAGCGAUGAAGCACCUUCGGGUGUGAAUUAGCGGCGAACGGGUGAGGAACACGUGAGAAAUCUGCCUUCAACACUGGGAUAACUCCGGGAAACCGGGGCUAAUACCGGAUAUGAAACUUGCGGGCAUCUGCGGGUCUGGGAAGAUUUUCGGUUGGAGAUGAUCUGGCGGCCUAUCAGCUUGUUGGUGAGGUAGUGGCUCACCAAGGCGACGACGGGUAGCAGGCCUGAGAGGGCGACCGGCCACACUGGGACUGAGACACGGCCCAGACUACUACGGGAGGCAGCAGUGGGGAAUAUUAGGCAAUGGAGGAAACUCUGACCCAGCGACGCCGCGUGCGGGAUGAAGGCCUUCGGGUUGUAAACCGCUUUCAGCAGGGAAGAAGCGAAAGUGACGGUACCUGCAGAAGAAGCACCGGCUAACUAUGUGCCAGCAGCCGCAGUAA
rnacentral:rRNA from 1 species